rnacentral:rRNA from 1 species
UGGGGAAUUUUGCACAAUGGGGGAAACCCUGAUGCAGCGACGCCGCGUGAUUUAGAAGGCCUUCGGGUUGUAAAAAUCUUUUCUAUGGGAAGAAAAUGACAGUACCAUAGGAAUGAGGACCGGCUAAUUACGUGCCAGCAGCCGCGGUAAUACGUAAGGUCCGAGCGUUGUCCGGAAUCAUUGGGCGUAAAGGGUACGUAGGCGGGUAAGCAAGUUAGAAGUGAAAUCCUGUAGCUCAACUACAGUAAGCUUUUAAAACUGCUCAUCUUGAGAUAUGGAAGGGAAAGUGGAAUUCCUAGUGUAGCGGUGAAAUGCGCAGAUAUUAGGAGGAAUACCGGUGGCGAAGGCGACUUUCUGGCCAUAAUCUGACGCUGAGGUACGAAAGCGUGGGUAGCAAACAGG